GACGAACGCUGGCGGCGUGCUUAACACAUGCAAGUCGAACGGAAAGGCCCCUUUGGGGGUCCUCGAGUGGCGAACGGGUGAGUAACACGUGAGUAACCUGCCCUUGACUUCGGGAUAACUUCAGGAAACUGGGGCUAAUACCGGAUAGGAAUCCUUGCUGCAUGGUGGGGGUUGGAAAGCUUCGGCGGUUUUGGAUGGACUCGCGGCUUAUCAGCUUGUUGGUGGGGUAGUGGCUUACCAAGGCUUUGACGGGUAGCCGGCCUGAGAGGGCGACCGGCCACAUUGGGACUGAGAUACGGCCCAGACUCCUACGGGAGGCAGCAGGGGGGAAUAUUGCACAAUGGGCGGAAGCCUGAUGCAGAAACGCCGCGGGCGGGAUGACGGCCUUCGGGUUGUAAACCGCUUUCAGCAGGGGCGAAGCUUGUGGUGACGGUACCUGCAGAAGAAGCACCGGCUAACUACGUG
rnacentral:rRNA from 1 species